AACGAACGCUGGCGGCAGGCUUAACACAUGCAAGUCGAACGCCCCGCAAGGGGAGUGGCAGACGGGUGAGUAACGCGUGGGAAUCUACCCAGAUCUACGGAACAACAGUUGGAAACGACUGCUAAUACCGUAUACGCCCUAAGGGGGAAAGAUUUAUCGGAUUUGGAUGAGCCCGCGUAAGAUUAGCUAGUUGGUGGGGUAAUGGCCUACCAAGGCGACGAUCUUUAGCUGGUCUGAGAGGAUGAUCAGCCACACUGGGACUGAGACACGGCCCAGACUCCUACGGGAGGCAGCAGUGGGGAAUAUUGGACAAUGGGCGCAAGCCUGAUCCAGCCAUGCCGCGUGAGUGAUGAAGGCCUUAGGGUUGUAAAGCUCUUUCAGUAGGGAAGAUAAUGACGGUACCUACAGAAGAAGCCCCGGCUAACUUCGUGCCAGCAGCCGCAGUAACAC
rnacentral:rRNA from 1 species